CCACCACUACUACAGCUGCACCAGCCACGGGUACUACAGCUGCAUCAACCACAACCACCACUGCCACCACCACUACACGUACACCCUCUACCACCGAGUCCGUGGGGGAAGGUUCGUCUGGGCUCUCAUCUGGGGCUAUAGCCGGUAUUACCAUUGGCUCUAUCGCUGGGGUGGCUGCUGUUGGUGGCGGAAUCUUUGGCAUACUAAAGUACACUGGGAAGAUCUAAGACCAAUUAUUGCCCAGCGAGGGUAUAAAUGGUCAUGGAGUGUGAGCACAAACAACUGCCAUCUUAAAGGCAAACAAUCAAAUCCUGACCCUGUUAACUGGACAAUGAAAAAUCCUACUGUACUGUCUGAAAGGCUCAUAUCAGAAUACAU